rnacentral:rRNA from 1 species
GACGAACGCUGGCGGCGUGCUUAACACAUGCAAGUCGAACGGAAAGGCCCUGCUUUUGUGGGGUGCUCGAGUGGCGAACGGGUGAGUAACACGUGAGUAACCUGCCCUUGACUUUGGGAUAACUUCAGGAAACUGGGGCUAAUACCGGAUAGGAGCUCCUGCAGCAUGGUGGGGGUUGGAAAGUUUCGGCGGUUGGGGAUGGACUCGCGGCUUAUCAGCUUGUUGGUGGGGUAGUGGCUUACCAAGGCUUUGACGGGUAGCCGGCCUGAGAGGGUGACCGGCCACAUUGGGACUGAGAUACGGCCCAGACUCCUACGGGAGGCAGCAGUGGGAAAUAUUGCACAAUGGGCGGAAGCCUGAUGCGGCAACGCCGCGUGCGGGAUGACGGCCUUCGGGUUGUAAACCGCUUUCGCCUGUGACGAAGCGUGAGUGACGGUAAUGGAUAAAGAAGCACCGGCUAACUACGUG